UGGGGAUUGGCCAAGUGGUAAGGCAGUGGGUUCUGGUCCCACCAUCGGGGGUUCGAAUCCCUCAUCCCCAGCCA
rnacentral:tRNA from 1 species